GGGAAGAUCCACUGAAGAAAGGAAUGGCAACCCACACCAGUAUUCUUGCGUGAAAAAGUCCGUGGACAGAGAAGCCUGGUGAACUACAGUCCAUGGGGUUGCAAAGGGUUGGAGCGACUGAGACUUUCACUUUCAAGUGGCAAAUAUUGGGUUUUAAUUCAGCAAUGAAAUGUGAAAUAUUCCUCAAGGAACCAAGAACUUUGUAGCAGCUGAAAUAUCAGGAUGCAGUAUUUCAGCAGUUUCCUGGAGACUGGAGCAAGGCUUGCGAAAGUUUUGAGAACAAUGCGAAAGUUUUGAGAACAAGCUUUGUACAACAUCCAGAGUCUUUUCCAGUGAGUCAUCUCUUCCCAUCAGGCCAAGGGACUCUCAAGAGUCUUCUCCAGCACCACAGUUCAAAAGCAUCCAUUCUUCGGUGCUCAGCCUUCUUUAUGGUCCAGUUCUCACACCUGUACAUGAUUACAGGAAAAACCACAGCUUUGACUAUAGCAGCUUUGUUGGCAAAGUGAUGUCUCUGCUUUUUAGUACCCUGUCUAGGUU
ensembl:lncRNA